ACCGAUAGCGAACAAGUACCGUGAGGGAAAGAUGAAAAGAACUUUGAAAAGAGAGUUAAACAGUACGUGAAAUUGUUGAAAGGGAAACGAUUGAAGUCAGUCGUGCUGGCGCGAAAUCAACCCUCUCGUCGRGAGA
rnacentral:rRNA from 1 species